rnacentral:rRNA from 1 species
UACGGGGGGGGCUAGCGUUGUUCGGAAUCACUGGGCGUAAAGCGCGCGCAGGCGGCUUGGUAAGUCAGAUGUGAAAUCCCUGGGCUUAACCCAGGAAGUGCAUUUGAAACUGCCAGGCUUGAGUAGGGGAGAGGAAGGUGGAAUUCCUGGUGUAGAGGUGAAAUUCGUAGAUAUCAGGAGGAACACCGGUGGCGAAGGCGACUUUCUGGCCCGAUACUGACGCUCAGGCGCGAAAGCGUGGGGAGCAAACAGG